rnacentral:rRNA from 1 species
AUACGUAGGGAGCGAGCGUUGUCCGGAAUUACUGGGCGUAAAGGGCGCGUAGGCGGCGCUUCAAGUCGUCUGUCAAAUGGGAGGGCUUAACCCUUUUUCGCAGACGAAACUGGAGAGCUUGAGAAGCAGAGAGGCAAACAGAAUUCCUGGUGUAGCGGUGAAAUGCGUAGAUAUCAGGAAGAAUACCAGUGGCGAAGGCGGUUUGCUGGCUGCAUACUGACGCUGAAGCGCGAAAGCCAGGGGAGCGAACGGGAUUAGAUACCCCGGUAGUCCUGGCAGUAAACGAUGUAUGCUGGGUGUGAGACUAGCGAUAGUUUCGUGCCGAAGUUAACGCGAUAAGCAUACCGCCUGGGGAGUACGGUCGCAAGAUUGAAACUCAAAGGAAUUGACGGG